rnacentral:rRNA from 1 species
UACGUAGGGUGCAAGCGUUGUCCGGAAUUAUUGGGCGUAAAGAGCUCGUAGGCGGUUUGUCGCGUCGAAUGUGAAAACCCGGGGCUCAACCCCGGGCCUGCAUUCGAUACGGGCAGACUAGAGUUCGGUAGGGGAGUCUGGAAUUCCUGGUGUAGCGGUGAAAUGCGCAGAUAUCAGGAGGAACACCGGUGGCGAAGGCGGGUCUCUGGGCCGUAACUGACGCUGAGGAGCGAAAGCGUGGGGAGCGAACGGG